UCUCUGACUCUCAAUGCGAUAGGCCCUUUCCCGGGCAGGAGCAUUCGCUCCCGUCUGCUUCGGCCCAUGGCGCGCCUCUAUGCGGGCGUUGCUCCUCGCUGCUCCAUCUCCCCACCAUUCCCAUCGUCGAGGCUCGCCAAGAGGAGAACCAACAGACUCAGGGAGAAGCUCCUCAAGACCCUUGGCCCUCCCCGCCAACCGCUUUCCAUCUCGCUUCCUCCAACCCAGGAGACCAUCCACAGAAGAGAAGAGUGGGAUGGAACGACCCUGGACGAUUCUGCAACCGUUGUUUCGACAGACGACCGUCGUAUCGAACUCAGUAUCGGUCAUUCUCCUACUCCGUCGGAGGUCCUCCAUGGAGUCUCCGACCCUCUUCCUAGAGUUCCCGUUCUUCGCUGGUCGUUGCAGCUGGUUGGUAUCUUCAUUUUUCAGACAAUUUGUGCCGUUUGGUUUCUUGGGGCCGGCCAUUCCGAUGAAGAAGCGAGGGAUAAGGGUGUUGGGGGUAGUAAGAAUCUCGAAAGUUCAAAGUUGAGGGGAGGAGAAAUGAAGGGGAACAAUGGAUUGCAGUUGCAGAACGGUGGCGGUCGUUUUAGUGAAGGUCUUGGAUCGAAUUUGGGUAAGCUACAUGCGAAUGCUGACGAGGAUUUGGACGAAAAAAUAUCUAAAAUUCGUGCAAUGGCUAGGGAAGCUCGCUUGAUGGAAAGGUUGGAAAUGGGGCGCAAUGGCGACGUCAUUGGCGGCUUGGCAGCUGAGGAAGAUAAGGAAGUUGUGCCACCUGCAGUUAUGGACUCGGCGACGGAUACAGCGAGUCCUAGAACUGAGAAAAAUCAGAUAGAAGGAGAAGUGGACGAGCUGUUGGGAGAAUUGCCUCAGCUAGUUCGAUCUCGUCUGAGGAAAUUGCCUCCCAAAUCGUAUUUAGCGCGCUUCGCUGGAGCGCCUCGAAGAAGAAUGAACAGGAACAACGUGGUUGGCAACAGAGGCUCGUCUCCCUUACCAGCGAAAGAUGAAUUGGCGAAAUCGGGCUCCGACAACCCAAAAGGAGGAAGUGCAGAACCAGUGAUCAGAGAGAAACCCAGAGGAUUUCAGAAUACUGGAGGGGUUAAUAAGAAAGGAAACAAGGCUCAUAUUGAAGAUGGUGUUGCGCUGAACAGCAAAACAGAUAAACGUACAAAAGAGAGGAAUUCCUCUUUAGGCAGAAGAAAAGGUGACGCGAAACAAGUGGAGCAUAAGAGCUUUACUGAACCAUUUAUUACAUCCAGCGAAGAAAGAGAAUCAAGUGCUUCAUGUCACGAAGCUGUUGGGAGGCUUGGAAACGGCGGAGAUACUGCUGUUAGCGGUCGUUUAGGUAGUUACAAUUCUGAAGGAUCUUUGCAGGAUAAUCUCACGAAAGUUAAUGGUAUGAACAAAAUAAAUGAUGCUUAUAUGCCUUCUGUGGUAACUCAUGACCCUAGUCCGAUGAAGGACGUGGAAACUAAAAAAGUCAAUGUGGAAAAUAGAAGGUCUGGGCAGUCAAUGAAGGAAAAUACUGCAAAGCCCGCAAGAUCUGGGAGUUCAGCGUUGCUUAAGCAUAAUAAUGGUUCUCAGCAGAGGUUGCAAACUAAAGAGGAUAAACAUAAAUCGCAACUACAUGAUACCAAACACAAUCAAUCAAAAGAAAAUGAAUUUUGGUGGUUAAGCCUUCCCUAUGUCCAUGUAAUUUUUUUGCAUAGAGGAGUGGGUGAUACACGUGCAAAGGGACUUUAUUCCUUAAAGCUACAUCAUGGUGCAGACAACGAUGCUGCUGGUUCUCAUAUCAUUGCAUUUCAAGACCGUGGUGAUGCAACCAAUUUCUGUUUUCUUUUAGAGUCCCUUUUCAAAGACCUGGGAGAUGCGUAUGCUGAUGUUGUUCCUUUAUCAAUCAAGGACAACUUCGAUUGGGUUCCUGGGUUAUCUUCAAAGGAGAAGUAAAGUUAGCCAUGCUUUGUCUUCUACUCUGUGCUCUGAUAAAGCAGUUGAUGACAUACUUCUGAUGGACAACUGUGGCAUUAACUGAAGUCUAAGAUAUUAGAUAUUGCCAAGGAGCUCCAUGGUGAAGUCAAGUCAGGCUCCAUGAAUGUCAAAGUGGUGAGGAAGGGAGAACUCAAGCUUUAUGUUGGACAACCACUAGAGGAAGUUGAGAGAAAAUUGCGUUCCCUCUAGACCAACUCUCCAAGAUGUAGAAAAGGAAACAAGGAGAAGAAAUCAAACAGGUUAAUAUUUCUUUGUGUUUCCUUGUGGUGGUUUAGUUUUAGUUAUUGACAAAGCACAAUCAUGGAGAGAAGAAGAAUCUGAAAAAAAGCAGAAAGAUGGUGACACGUUGAUCCAUUUCAUGGUCAAUCUAUAUGGGGGCUAUAUAAAAGAAUAAUCAUGUCGUCAAGUGCUUUUUCCAUCAUAGCUUUUCAUAGCUAUGUCAACAUAGUCAACUUCUGCAAGGUUUCAAUAUUCUUACCUCUUAUUCAUCCCUUAUAGAUUUAGAAUAUCAGAAUGUAAUUCUUUCAGAUAGUUCAUAACUUUUUUUGUAUGUCCAGGAAAGAAAAGGAUGUAGCAUGGUUGUAAUUGAGAUUCUUAAUGAGGGUCCUCAAAAUCCCUAGGUUUGAGGUGAUUUACAUCAUAUUUAUUUGUAAGCUAUCAAUUUUGAGAAAAUAAGAUCCAUCAUUCGGUUUCUUUGAAGCCACAAAA